UUCUGCUGUAGACAUACGGUACAUCAUCCUUCUGUGAUGUAUGUAUGAUGUUUUGGGGGUUGGUCUUGAGCUACAGGGUGGGCAGUUUUAAAAGUCUAUAUAAGGGCUUGCGUAUCAUUGUUCUGGGUUCCUCCUCCCUCCUGCGUGUGGUGAGUGAGAACCCUGUUGCAACAGUUUAAUAAAGAUCAGGCUUACUAGCUGCUUUGCUUCUCAAUAUUCUCUGGUUGGCCUCUGUUAUUUUCUCCUACAGAUAGGGAACUCACUUAAGGACUCUAUACAGUCUCUUGGGUACCCCAUAAGGGAAAAGGAGCAGGUUUUUUCUGUAGCAAUGAUGAGUUAAAAAUCCAGAGAAGUUUGGAUGCUAGAAAGGGAGCCUUUCUCAGUGGCCAAAACCAAUGCCGUUUGGGCACAAACAUAUAUAGCUGCAUCUUUUGCAGUGGACUAAACAUUCAGGGACACGGGUGGCACUGUGGGUUAAACCACAGAGCCUAGGGCUUCCCGAUCAGAAGGUCGGCGGUUCGAAUCCCCAUGAUGGGGUGAGCUCCCAUUGUUCGGUCCCUGCUCCUGCCAACUUAGCAGUUCGAAAGCACAUCAAAGUGCAAGCAGAUAAAUAGGUACCGCUCCAGCGGGAAAGUAAACGGCGUUUCCAUGUGCUGCUCUGGUUUGCCAGAAGCGGCUUAGUCAUGCUGGCCACAUGACCCGGAAGCUGUACGCUGGCUUCCUCGGCCAGUAAAGCGAGAUGAGCACCGCAACCCAAGAGUCGGUCAUGACUGGACCAUUAGGUCAGGGGUCCCUUUAUCUUUAAAAUACUGUCUUAUUUAUUUUAUAGUAGAGUACAUUGUUUAUUAGAGGACGCGGAUGGCGCUGUGGUCUAACCCACAGAGUUUAGGGCUUGCCAAUCAGAAGGUCAGCAGUUUGAAUCCCCACGACGGGGUGAGCUCCCCAGAGCACAACCCCAGAGCAAUAAUUGAUAUGCCGCUAUUUCCCCUUUAGGGUCACGGGUGGCGCUGUGGGUUAAACCACAGAGCCUAGGACUUGCUGAUCAGAAGGUUGGCGGUUCAGAUCCCCACGACGGGGUGAGCUCCCGUUGCUCGGUCCCUGCUUCUGCCAACCUAGCAGUUCAAAAGCAUGUCAAAUUGCAAGGAGAUAAAUAGGUACUGCUCUGGCGGAAAGGUAAACGGCAUUUCCAUGUGCUGCUCUGGUUUGCCAGAAGCGGCUUAGUCAUGCUGGCCACAUGACCUGGGAAAACUGUCUGUGGACAAACAUUGUCUCCCUCGGGCCGUAAAGUGAGAUGAGUGCCGCAACCCCAGAGUCGUACACAACUGGACCUAACGGUCAGGGUCCCUUUACCUUUACCUUACAUUGUUUAUUGCUUUCGUUUUAUGGAUCAGUGGUCUUGUUAGAUAGUAAAAUUCAUGAUAAAUUGCUGUUUUAUGGAUUGUUUUUAAAAGUCUGGAACGGAUUAAUCUGUUUUGCAUUACUUUCAAUAGGAAAGCACGCCUUGGUGUUGGAACGCUUUGGUUUUGGAAUGGACUUCCGGAAUGGGUUAAGUUUGAGAACCAUGCUACCACUUUAUUGGCAACUAAUGCAAAAGGAUGUGCGCUUCUCCUCUCCAUCGGUUCCUCAAAAGAAGAUCGCAUAACCCUCUGCAACGCAAUGGAAUGGUUGAUCCCAUUUAACUCACAAAUACCCACUGUGCUGUAUCACGGGGAACUUGGGGGUAUUCCCUGCUGACAUUAUUGUGACAUGAAUUCUCAGAGAACUCUAUGGAGGCAAAGGAAC